rnacentral:rRNA from 1 species
AUUGAACGCUGGCGGCAGGCCUAACACAUGCAAGUCGAGCGAGCGGCGGACGGGUGAGUAAUGUAUGGGGACUGCCCGAUAGCGGGGGUUAACUACUGGAAACGGAGGCUAAUACCGCAUACUGUCGGAUGACCGAUGUGGGAUCAGCUAGUGGGUUGGGUAAUGGCUUACAGAGGCGACAAUCCCUAGCUGGUCUGAGAGGAUGAGCAGCCAAACUGGGACUGAGACACGGCCCGGACGCCUAGGGAGGCAGCAGUGGGGAAGCUUGCGCAAUGGGCGCAAGCCUGAUGCAGCCAGGCGGCGUGUAUGAGGAAGGCCUGAGGGUUUUAAAGUACUUUCAGUCGGGAGGCGUUACCGACAGAAGAAGCACCGGCUAACUCCGUGCCAGCAGCCGCGGUAAUUC